GGAGCCUAUUUAAUGAUAUGCUUUUGUGUAGUUCUUUUUUCGGUAUUUUAUAUUUUUCUUGGAGUUAGAAGCCAUAUUCUGUUGGAUUUUUCUUAAGCUGGCCCAGUACUUUAUUUACACAGAUAUGUAUAGAUACACAUAAAUACAGAAAUAUUCAAUGAUGAUUAUAUUAUUCAGUACAGAACUUGCUUUUUACUAUUUGGAGACAAUCUGUGUUAGGUACUGACUAUACUAGGCAUUGCCCUAGGUCCUUCACAUAUGACUUCUAAAUAUUUCUUCAGGUAGGACUAUUGACUCUAUCUAUGGUAAGUAAAAUGGCUUUGUGAGAUUAAAUCAGCUGCUCCAGGUCACAUAGCCAGCAAGUGAUAGAUUAGGGUUCAAUCUGGCAGUCUUGUUCUAGAUUUCUUUCUUUCAACCACUACAUGGAGAAUUCAUGGGACAGAAUGUUUCUUAUUAAAAGCAUGUGCACAAAAAGGGAAGCUCUGCCUCACGAAUUUCUAUUUCAUCUUGACCUGUAAUUUUCCUGUUCCCAGACUUCUCAUGACUAGAAGAGAAGAUAUCAGGUGCUAUAGUUCAUUGGAUUUGAAGCAACCUCAUAAAACCUCAAAAAACAUCAUAUGCACAUUCAGAGAAGCUGGGAAUUUUAACUUCUACAUAUAUAGAACUAGAGCCAUUUCUAAAAAAUGGCAAACCAGGACAUAGAUAUGAGGAUAUGAGCGUGGGUUUGGGGAGAGGAGCAAAUAUAAAUAGAUGAUCGGGCGUAUUUCAGGGCAGCCGCCACUGGAGAAGAAGGAGGUGUCUCUACCAGCUGGCAAAAAAUGGAUCCUACAUCUUCCCUCUCCAACUUCCAAAUUUUUCUCCAUUUCUUGGCAAAUGGUUAGGGUGUCCUUUCUAUUUUCACAUAUUUCCCUCAACUUGCCCUUUUAUGAUUUCCUCCCUUUCUUUAAAUACCCUUAAUAUUAAUUUCAUCUUUAUGUUAAAUGAUAUAAAUAAGAUUAGAGGGGCACCUGGCUGGCUCAGUCAGUAGAGCAUGUGACUCUUGAUCUCAGGGUUGUGAGUUCAAGCCCCACGUUGAGUGUAGAGAUUACUUAAAAAUAAAAUCUGUUUUUUUUUAAUAUUUUAUUUAUUUAUUUGAGAGAGAGAGAUAGGAGAGAAUAAGCAGGAAGGAGAGGGAGUAGCAGGCUCCCUGCUGAACAGGGAUCCCGAUAUGGGGAUCCUGAGAUCAUGACCUGAGCCGAAGGCAGAUGUUUAACCAACUGAGCCACCCAGGUGCCCCGAAAAAUAAAAUCUUAAAAAAAAAAUAGAAUUAGAAAAACAUAUGGUGUAUAUUGUUCCAACUGCUAAUCCCUCAUAAAGAGGGACUUAAGAUGGAAGAAUUAUAAACUAGAAAAUAACAAAAGGAAAUUUAUUUAUCUCUAAUAGUAAGAAUGAUGAUUACAUAAUAAUAAUAAUAAAAAUAAACACAAUGGUAAUGACAUUACUUUAUGGAACUGCUUUGAAUGCCUUGCAAAUUAUAUUUUUUUAUUUAAUUUCCAAGGUAACAUUUAUCUAUUUUAUUUAACCUUAAACAUUGCAUUAAGGAAAACCCCAAAGAUUAUCACUUUAAAUUUCAGAUGUAGAGUUAAAGAAACUUUUAGGCAGUUAAGGAAAAUUUUAGGCAGCCAAGUUUUUCUGCAGUUUCUAACUUACUAAGGUAUUUGUGUAAGAUCAACUUCUGAAAUGGGAAUAGCUCUAGAGUAUUGUAUGAAUAUUUUGACUUAUGUUUUCAUGCAUUGUUAUUUUGAUAAUCUCUAAAAUCAGUGUAUUUAGAGUGGAACCAUAAAUUCACUAGAUAUAGCAAUGAAUUUGCAGGUGCAUUUGCUUUACCUACCUUAACAUGUAACUGAGAACUGUCCUAUGGCCUGAAGUUUCUCAAACAGGGUGACAUGUAGACACCAGAAAGGCAUCUUUGACCAAAUAAAAUUAGUGAUUUUGAUUUGGGCUGAUAAUAAGAAUUAGGCUAGCUUAGCGGAAGCAGAAAUAUUUCCCAAAUUUGUACCUUCUAUAUGAAUGGUCCCUUUUAAAAACUCAGCUCACAAUAAGAAGUAGAGGUUUUUGAAAUGAGCAAAAGCAAUUGUCUAUAGGGGAUUCAAAAAGCAGUUUGUAUGCACCAUUCCCUACACUAAAUAGCUCUAGUGAAAACAGCACUGCUUUUAUUCUGUUUCUUUAUUUUUUUAUUCUGUUUCUUUAAAUAUGUAGGUUGUUAAUACAUUUUCAAAUUAAUAGUUUAGAGAUUUUCAUACCCUUCUAUAACUAUUAGUUGAAUAGUACAUCUCCACCUGCAAGAGUGACUUGAUGCAUUCAUUUAACUACAAUGAAAGUGUCAUUUAGAAAGCCAUUAAAACAUAACCUUAAAAUUAACAUUGUGACCCUACAAAGAAAUGUUAAAUAGGUUGAAAAGGAAUGAUCUUGAAAAGGAAAGGCCUGCCUUUAGAAUCCAAGUGAAAAAAAAAAGAAAAAAGAAAAAAAA
rnacentral:lncRNA from 1 species